rnacentral:sRNA from 1 species
AUAAAAAAUUAAAAUAUCAUGAGACGAGAAGUAUAGCAGGACGGGUUUAGAUUGAUAUGAAAUACAGCGAGACGGAUUUGGAUUGAUAUAUUAAUUU